GGGAUUCUGUGGGAGUAGUAGUUUUUGUCUUGUCUCAAUAAAAGAGCAUGCUUGCACACACUGGCACUCCACACUUGUAAAUAGAAGAGUAAUUGACUUAGUAGCGAGAGAGAUGAAAUUUGAGAACAUUAGCACAAUCUGAGGUAUUAUAAUUGGCAAGGCAAUUACUUCAUAGUUCACUCAUUCAUCACGUAGUUGCAUUCAUGCAUUGCAUUGUAUUAUUGUAUAGUGUCGUUGACGCUUGAGGACAAGCAUCAGUUUAAGUUUGGGGGUGUGAUAAGUGGUAUUUAUACACACUUAUAGGCCUUCAUUUCCACUUAAAUUGGUUGGUUGUACUUAAGUGUUUAGUGUCUUUUGAUGUGUUUUUAGUGUUUUUCUGUGCAGGUCACGAGUUGAGGUGAUGAAGUGAUUUUCUAUCAUUUUAGGUUGUUUUUGGUGCAUUAUUUGCAAGAAUAGAGAAUUGUGGAUUCAUCACGACUUGGGAUUUUGUGGGUACAUCUUCUACAAACCCUCACGAGAACACACUCGUCCACUAG
rnacentral:lncRNA from 1 species